CAUUAAGUGGCUGAAAAUUUUAAGCAUUGGUCUCUUAAACCAAAACAUGGUAAUUUAAAAAAUACCCUUAAUGA
rnacentral:tRNA from 1 species